UUCAAUGGAAACUAUUGUUGGAUAUUCUCCAGCUAAAAGUCAGAAUAUGGGUAUAAUUAACGUCAAGUGAAAUUUAAAAUUUUCAUGGCUAAAUACUAAUUCCGAAAAAGGUGAUAAUUUACCCAAAAAAAUGAGUUUUCUUUUAUGGUCAAACAGAACCAUUAGUGGGCGUUUGGACAUAAGAAUUGUGAAAUCACGGAAAAAAUAUUUUUUUUUCAAUUGAAAAUACUAUUUAAAAAUUAGAGUUGUGUUUGGACAUGCAUAUAAUUUGGAGUUGUUUUUGAAUUUGAAGUGAAAUUUUUAAAAACAGUUUUUAUGAGUUUUUAAAAUUUUUGAAAAAUUCUGAAAUUUAAUUUCAAAGUUAAAUUUAAAAUUCUCAUGACCAAUUCCGAGAAAAAGUGAAAAAUUUCCGAAAAAUGUAAAGUGAAAACAUGUAUAUCUGAGAUCAAUUCAUGCACGCAACAGAAACUCUCACAGUUGACCGCGCCGAAUGCAUAUUAAAGUAAUAUUCUAAGGAGAUGAUGACAUCUUUGCAAUUAAAUACAGAAACCAUCAAAUGUAUCUAGUAAUAUUUUUAGUAAUCACUUUCCUGAGGCGUGCUGCAAUUAAUCUAUGAUAUCUGGUCAUUUUUGUCG
rnacentral:lncRNA from 1 species